AUUGAACGCUGGCGGCAGGCUUAACACAUGCAAGUCGAGCGGAGAGAGGUAGCUUGCUACUGAUCUUAGCGGCGGACGGGUGAGUAAUGCUUAGGAAUCUGCCUAUUAGUGGGGGACAACAUUUCGAAAGGAAUGCUAAUACCGCAUACGUCCUACGGGAGAAAGCAGGGGAUCUUCGGACCUUGCGCUAAUAGAUGGGCAUAAGUCGGAUUAGCUAGUUGGUGGGGUAAAGGCCUACCAAGGCGACAAUCUGUAGCGGGUCUGAGAGGAUGAUCCGCCACACUGGGACUGAGACACGGCCCAGACUCCUACGGGAGGCAGCAGUGGGGAAUAUUGGACAAUGGGCGGAAGCCUGAUCCAGCCAUGCCGCGUGUGUGAAGAAGGCCUUAUGGUUGUAAAGCACUUUAAGCGAGGAGGAGGCUACUUUAGUUAAUACCUAGAGAUAGUGGACGUUACUCGCAGAAUAAGCACCGGCUAACUCUGUGCCAGCCGCCGCAGUAACAC
rnacentral:rRNA from 1 species